rnacentral:lncRNA from 1 species
AUAACACACAGAUUGGGGGCCUUGCCCACAGGUAACUUCCUUGAGGGAGAGCCUGGUGCUCUGUUUUCAAGUACUUUCCAUGCACAUCUGCCUCUCCCCAGACACUGGGCAAUUCUGCUGCAUUAGAACCCAUGCCUCCUUUCUCUCUACCUCCCUGAUCUGGUGACCACAGGUACCAGGUUGUUUAUCCACUUUACAAUGGAGCAGCUGAAGCCUGGGACCAUCACUGGGUCUGCGUUCACCACAUCACUCUUGAUCUGCUGGCCUGUGGUCCUCAGGUUCCUACUGAGACCCAGGUUGGAGACUGGAGGAAACUGACCCUGGAUCACCUGGAGUUCUCUACUGGUGCUUCCAGCCUGAUGCCAAGUGGGCACCCAUGUGGGCUUCCUGGACCGGGUGUUCUGGAUUGCCAGGAGCCCAAUACACCAGUCAUAACAACCAACCCAGACAGCACAUGUCAAGGAAUAAACAAGAUAUUCAAGUCCAAG